rnacentral:rRNA from 1 species
UACGUAGGGUGCAAGCGUUAAUCGGAAUUACUGGGCGUAAAGCGUGCGCAGGCGGUUGUGCAAGACAGAUGUGAAAUCCCCGGGCUCAACCUGGGAACUGCCUUUGUGACUGCAAGGCUUGAGUGCGGCAGAGGGGGAUGGAAUUCCGCGUGUAGCAGUGAAAUGCGUAGAUAUGCGGAGGAACACCGAUGGCGAAGGCAAUCCCCUGGGCCUGCACUGACGCUCAUGCACGAAAGCGUGGGGAGCAAACAGG